rnacentral:rRNA from 1 species
AGGGGAAAAAAUUAAUAAAGUAAGAGAAUAAUAAAAGAAAUUUUAAUAUUAUAAUUUAAUGGGGGUUAAAGUAUAAUAAAUAGAAAAAAUUUUUAAUUUUAUAAUGAAAUAGUAAUGUAAAAUAAAUUUGAAAUAAGUGAAAAUAAAAUUUUAUAAAAGUAAUUUUAAUUUAAUGUAUCUUGUGUAUCAGAGUUUAUUAAAAAUAAAUUUUUAAAAAAAAUAUUCUCGAAUUUUAAAGAGAAAAUUAAUUAAGAAAGUUAUUGUGUCAAAAAUAUUUUUAAUAAUUAAUUGGAAAUGAAAUGUUAAUCGUUUUAAAAGAUAUCUAGUUUUUUUAGAAAAAAAUUUAAUUUUUAGUUUAUUUAAAAUAGAAAUAAUUAAGAAUUUCUUUUUUUAUAUAAAUUUAAUAAUUUAAGGGAUAAGCUUUAAAUUAAAAAAUUAUAAUUAAUUUUUAAAAAUAUAAAAAUUUUUAAAAUUUAUAUUGUUUAAAAAAUUUAGUUUUUUAUAAAUAAUUUUUAAAAUAAGAAAAAUUUUAAUUUAAUUUAAUUUUUUAUAAAAAAAUAAAAUUUAAUAAAAUAAUUAAAGAAAAAAUGAUAAAAUUAGUAUAUAAUAAAAAAAGUAGUAAAAUUAAAGUAAAUAAAAUAAAAGGAAUUCGGCAAAAAUAAAUAUUCACUUGUUUAUUAAAAACAUGUCUUUUUGAUAAUAAUUUAAAGUCUAAUCUGCCCACUGAUAUAAAUUAAAGGGCUGCAGUAUUUUGACUGUACAAAGGUAGCAUAAUCAUUAGUCUCUUAAUUGGUGACUUGUAUGAAGGAUUGGAUGAAAUAUUAACUGUCUUUUAUUUUUAUAUAGAAUUUAAUUUUUAUAUUAAAAAGUUUAAAUAUAUUUAAAAGACGAGAAGACCCUAUAGAGUUUUAUAAAUAUAUUAAUUUUUUUUUUUAUAUAAAAUUAGAAAAAAAAAAUUAAUAUAUUUAUUUUGUUGGGGUGAUAAAAAAAUUUAUUUAACUUUUUUAAAAAAAAAUAAACAUAAAUAGGUGAAUUUAAUGAUCCAAAAUUUUUGAUUAAAAGAAAAAAUUACCUUAGGGAUAACAGCGUAAUUUUUUUUUUUAGUACAAAUAAAAAUAAAAGUUUGCGACCUCGAUGUUGGAUUAAGAUAAAAUUUAAAUGCAAAAGUUUAAAAUUUUUGAUCUGUUCGAUCAUUAAAAUCUUACAUGAUCUGAGUUUAAACCGGUGUGAGCCAGGUUGGUUUCUAUCUUUAGAAAAAUAAAAUAUUUUAGUACGAAAGGAUCAAAUAUUUAAAAUAAUUUUAAAAAAAAAGAAUAUUAUUAAUAAAAUUAUAUAUUUAA